GUUUGCGUCAGGCUAAUCUUGGCCAAAGGGCUCUGGCAUCAGGAUUAAGGAUCAACUCCUCAAAUCUGCCUCAGCAUACGAACCAAAGGCAAACAUCUGCGGCUGUGGGAUGUUCAAAUGCUGCAUGGCAAAGCACAAAAGCAGAACAGCUGCUUAAGGGUGGGGGACAGCUUUCCGUUUGCUAGAAUGCAGCUUCCUGCACAGCCAUACUGCAAUGCAGAAGGAAUACAGGAGACAAGGGAAGGAAAAGCAAAACCCGACUUGGUGGCUCUGGGCAGCAGGACGGUGCCGCGGGAUGGUGUCACUGUGUACCUGGCUCUGUAGGUGAUAAAGGACAGGUUCAGGCACCAGGGGGACACACCAAAAACCCCAGGAAUCAAAGGAAGAUGACAGCUGAGCUCUGCUCCAGGAGAAUCAGUCACCUGCAGGCCAUGAGCUGCACGCACAGCUUAAGGAAUUAACUUAGUCUAGAUGUGAACACCAUGCACUGCUGAGCAGAAGGCCAAGCACCCCACAGACACACAAGUGCCUGCUUGGCUUGUAUGACCCCUCCUUACCCCUACAGUGUAAAAGAUGGCAAUGGUCAAGGCUCGUAAAGGCAGCUGUUCUUCAAAUAUCUGGCAGGAUACUUAUUACAUAUCAGAUGCUGAACACAAGGCAACAAAUUGG
rnacentral:lncRNA from 1 species